CGAACGCUGGCGGCAUGCCUAACACAUGCACGUCGAACGGAGAAUUUAUUUCGGUAAAUUCUUAGUGGCGAACGGGUGAGUAACGCGUAGGCAACCUGCCCUUUAGAUGGGGACAACAUCCCGAAAGGGGUGCUAAUACCGAAUGUGACGAAUCUCCCGCAUGAGAGAUUCGUGAAAGAUGGCCUCUACAUGUAAGCUAUCGCUAAAGGAUGGGCCUGCGUCUGAUUAGCUAGUUGGUGAGGUAACGGCUCACCAAGGCGACGAUCAGUAGCCGGUCUGAGAGGAUGAACGGCCACAUUGGGACUGAGACACGGCCCAGACUCCUACGGGAGGCAGCAGUGGGAAUCUUCGCAAUGGGCAAAGCCUGACGGAGCAAUGCCGCGUGAGUGAAGAAGGUCUUCGGGACCGUAAAGCUCUGUUGUUCAUGACGAACGUGCAGGGGGUNAAUAUUUCCUGGUAAUGACGGUAGUGAACGAGGAAGCCCACGGCUAAACUCGUGCCAGCAGCCGUACGGG
rnacentral:rRNA from 1 species